UCACUUACCUGGACGGGAUUUAUGAGUGAUCAUGUAGGCUCAUGGCCUAGACUGUUGACCUCCAUAGCUCAUUGCGGAGGGGCAGCAGCCCAAGAUCUCCCCAAGGGGGAGAGUCUACGUCAUAAUUUGUGGUAGUGGGGGCCUGCGUCCACGCGGCCCCUG